rnacentral:rRNA from 1 species
GGGGGCAAWWCUGACCGARCAACGCCGCGUGAGUGAAGAAGGUUUUCGGAUCGUAAAGCUCUGUUGUAAGUCAAGAACGAGUGUGAGAGUGGAAAGUUCACACUGUGACGGUAGCUUACCAGAAAGGGACGGCUAACUACGUGCCAGCAGCCGCGGUAAUACGUAGGUCCCGAGCGUUGUCCGGAUUUAUUGGGCGUAAAGCGAGCGCAGGCGGUUUKWUAAGUCUGAAGUUAAAGGCUGUGGCUCAACCAUAGUUCGCUUUGGAAACUGUCAAACUUGAGUGCAGAAGGGGAGAGUGGAAUUCCAUGUGUAGCGGUGAAAUGCGUAGAUAUAUGGAGGAACACC